rnacentral:lncRNA from 1 species
AAUCGCCCGUCCAAACUCACCCUAAUGUGAUUUCAAAACUUAAAAUGGAACAAGGGCUACAGCCUAGGGAUGUCUCAUUGACUUCCACUCCUUCUACCCAACUCAAUUGAUUAAUCAACAAAAUAAGAUUGGAUUAUGGUAUUUUUUAAUGAUUAUAGUUUUAUUUAUAAAAAAUCAUUUGUUAAAUUUUGUCCUGUUUAUUGAUAUAAACCAAUUCACCCAAUAAACAUUUAUAAUUAUAUAUAUAUCCUAAUCCAAAAAUAUUUGAAAUUUAGGACCAUAAAUACAAAUAUAAUAUUAUUAAAUCUAUUUAUCUUUCACCCUCUUUAAAAUGCGCUUGAUUUCAAACUUAAAAAAUUAUAUAAUAUUAUUUUCACAUUUUAAAAAUAUAAUAUGACAAAAAUUAUGUUUUAGUAUUGUAAUGCCCAAUUUUGACCCGGGCCCACUAAAAAUAAAUAAAACCAAAAUUACAUACGCAAAACCCGUUCAAACUUAAACCCAAACCUACCUCGGCCCACAAAUUGAAAAAUUUUCAGUAAGAAAACCCUAAGGCCGCCGCUCCUAUCUCUGCCCAGAUCCAGGCCUCGCUCGUGCAUCGCCAACGCAUGCAUGCAUUUCCUCCAUGCGCGUCCUCCUCCCGUACGACUGUACCUGUAGUGCCACAAACAAACAACAGAGGAAACAAACGAAAAGAGGGACAAUAAAUCAGAGAAAAUAGAAAAAAAACAAGAAAAAUGUAAAAAGGGAUUGGGGGAAUAGUUUUUCUUUUUGGGCUAUAAAAGCCGUUCUAAAUUCUGUAAAGGAGGCUUUUUUUUUACACGAACAUUGAAUAAAAAAAGAUACAGAGCAAAAAAAGGUGAUUUUGAGUUUUUCGUUCCUCUUGAUUUUCUUUUUCGACUUUUAGAUUGUUUUUUUUUCUUUUAUUCACUGUUUGAGAAAAGGAAAUGGAGGGGAAAGUUAAGCGUUUACCUUUGUGGCGAAUCCGAAUCAUCGUCCUCUUCGUCUUAAUCGGAGUUGGGGCGAUGGAUCGGAGAACUUCCGACUGGCCGGGGCAUGAAGCGGCGCAGGGAGCUUUUUUUUCAUAUUUUUGUUUUAGGUUUUCUCCAAAAUAAAAAUAGGCUGCUAAUUUUAGGGUUUAAUUUCGUUUUAUAUAACGAAGGAAACGGC